rnacentral:lncRNA from 1 species
UUAUCAAAGCUGAUUCCAGGGAGCAGCGUCCCCACCGGGAGAGGCCACAGCCUCAUUAGAGAGUUCUGGGAACGUCGAAAUGACCUGGCCGCCGCGCGUCCCGGGACAAUUAGGACCGUCCCUGGGCCUUCAAAGGCGAGCGCCGUGUGCGUGCGCGCGUAUGGGUGUGCGUGGGCGCGUAUGGGUGUGCGUGGGCGCGUAUGGGUGUGCGUGGGCGCGUAUGGGUGUGCGUGUCUUCUUGCUUUAGUGCUUUUUGGCUGUUUUUCUCUUCUCGGGUUUCGCCCCCGUCAGCACCGGCUCCGUGCGUGUCCCAGCAGCCCCGUCUCCGACCCCCGGGACACCCCCAGAGGUCCCAGACCUGGCAAAACCUCCCCGCAUGUCCUUGGAACAGGCCCCAGGACGCCGCCCUGAGACACCCAGCUCGGCCAAGAGAUGGGAACCAUGCCAGCUCUCUGGCCAGUUCCUUCUGCUGCAGCUCCCCCAUCAUGAGUCCAGAAUGCAAACUAUUCCCCCACAGCAAACUCCCGGCUCUGGUUUCCGGAUGCCUCCCUCCGAUGCUGCAGUCUAAGCCGAGAUUCUUCUCCAAAUCCCGAAGAGCACCUCCCCCGCCCCUUUCCUGUGGAAUGUUUCUUACCCACGUCAGGAGGCAUAGGCAGGGACAGUAACACGUUCCUCCGCACCCCUGGACGCUGUCGGGGCCUCAGUUUGAGAGGCGUCGUGCCGUCCGGAGACGCGGGCUCGUUUUGGGAAUGCCCCCCCCCCCCCAAAACAGAUCCAGGCCACGCAACACGGGCCUGCCCAGUCCUGCCAACGCUGCCGCCCAUAGCCCAGGCCCCUGGCACCAUGGAAGUUUCCUGUAAUCGAUGACUCCACUUGUGAGACGCAGAUUCUGACAUCGGGCAAUUAUUGGAGGGGAUCCGCAUGUUGCUUUAAGUGAGAAGGCAAAUUCUAGAUACUUUUGUCAUAACACCAGAGGAAGCAGGCGCAAUAUUUGCAAAAUUGGAAACAGCCUUGGGUCUCAGCCCCUCGCUGAUGGCACUCAGGUAUUAAUCCAUUAAGGCAAUCAAAAGAGCUUAAAUAAAAGUCUGAAGCCUGCAAUAUACAUGUCCAUGAACAAGCGGUAAAACUUCCUGAAAAGGUGAUUUCAAAGCCAUAUUGCCCACGCUUGGCAAAUUGCAUAUUUAAUUAUUUUGUCAGUCCCUCUUUCUCCUCUAAUCUUUGGGGAAAAUGCCCUGAGACAUACGAAACCAGUUAGGAUAAUUAAGGUACGAUGGAAUUAGGUGUCGGCUGAUUUCUCAGAAAGAUGCCAUCCUCUAACCUGGUAUGAGAUGUGUGCAGGCCCCAAAAAGCAGUAACGUCUGUAAUGUCUGCCUUUCUAUGGAAAGAUCAAAGGUCUUUUGCCCCUUUCAGGAUGUUUGUAGAAUUUGUUUCCCAAUUAUCCCACAUUUGCGCACUGGGACAUCCUAGUUAACUCUUUGAUGGCACCUCUGGAAUUGGGCCGUAAUUGACAUCAAGCUGCACCUCCAGGCUCCAGGCUGGGGGCCAAGGUUCUGAUCUGGAGUCUAUGCUCCUAGAGGAAAGAAGAUGGAUGGAAGAUAGAAAGGGGGUAAAGGCUGAGGUUUGGGUCCCUUAGAGCCUGGCUGCCACAUUCACUCAGUGAUGAAGGACUCUCCAUUAUUCAGACUUGGCUGAACGCUGGUAAACUCCUCUGCUGUCACUCUGGUGUGAAUUUGGGCUAGGAUUUGGUCUUUGCAUAGUUUUGCCAUCUUAAGAUACAGACACUGAAUACACUCAACAUGUUAUUUUCCCACAUCAGGAUAUUUCUUCUUGUCCAGAAAGAGGUUAAAAAGGGAGAAAGCCAUCAAAUAUUUUGGAAAGGGGAGAAAAAGUCAUCAAGAUUUGAAGUUUUAGUUAUGGCAAUUUGAACCUAAAUGUGAUUAGGAUAGUAUGCCGAGGUAUAAAGUCAAAUGCUAAAAAAUUUUAAAGAAAAUAUGAAGACUUUUCCUAGCACGUAUUUCUUUUACUUUUUCACUAUUUCGUCUUUUCAGGUCUGUCGGUCUUUCUGGACUCUGCAAAUAUUUUUUGCCCCGACUGCUUAGUUCAAAUAAUUUGUCUUGAACAUCUUUGUCUUAGGUUAAGAGAAAGGGAGAAAGAAAAAGACAGACCUAAAUAUUUAUAUGCCAAUACAAUGGCCCUCCUGGAAAUAAUUUUUUGAAAAAGGCCUCAAUAAUUUGAAAAAUGAAAUACCAUGGACUCAAGCAAUCACGUCCUAAGAGCUGCCCCAAGAACCUGUGGUGGUCCUUUACCCUUUUCUUACCUUCCAUAUUAUCCCUUAAAAAUCCACCUGUGUCCCAGCAAAUUUUUAAUCAAGGAGAUGAACUCCCAGAGCAUCAGAGGGAAAAGUUUCCCUUAAGGCAGCUGUUUUCCAUAUUCUCACAGAGGACCCAGAAAUCACAGAGGCAGCCUGUCGGCACUGCCGCGUUCUCUACAAACAACGAACUCAAAAAUGACUCGUUUCCCAAGUAAUUUUCAUUGUGAAGAAGCCCCCUACAAAAAUACAUACUGAAAGAAAA